GUACACCGCCCGUCGCUGCCCGGGACUGAGUUGUUUCGAGAAAAGCGGAACUGCUGCUCUGAGCGUUUUCGGACGAUCGUUGCGGCGAGAACCGCGUUAAUCGAAACGGCUUGAACCGGGCAAAAGUCGUAACAAGGUUUCCGUAGGUGAACCUGCGGAAGGAUCAUUAUUGAGCUUAUCCAUUUACUUGGAUU
rnacentral:rRNA from 1 species